rnacentral:tRNA from 1 species
UGUAACUCAGUGGUAGAGCACUUGCCUAGCAAGCAUGAGGCACUGAGUUCAAUACUCUGCA